rnacentral:sRNA from 1 species
CGAAAAGUCAUUGUUUUGGGGGAUUCAUUUUGUUGUCUCUUUAAACCUUUAACCUCUGAUUUUGCUUUUCAAACAGGAGAUUGCCUUCGUUAACUUCUUGUUAGUUGCAACUCAUGCAUAACCUGUUCGAAACAUUUUUGUAAGGUGCUAAAGUGUUGUUGGAGUGGAUCAAUCUGUGCUUGAAAUCUCUUAGGAAACUGGACAGAAUGGAGUGGCCUCUUAAGGUCUAUACCGCGUAGGCCCAACAUCGAGGGUCAACCUUAGAGUAACGCAGGCAGGAAAUGGGGAAGGAGGCAGAGUUAGUUGUGAACAGAGAAAGGAUAACUAAUUCUUUUAUAUAUAGGACGGGAGAGAAUAAUAUAGGGUCAUUUGGAGAAUGUCUUGGUAAUUGGAGUCUAGAGUACUUUACUCUGAUUUGGGGAGGGCGGUGCCA